rnacentral:rRNA from 1 species
UACAGAGGUCCCAAGCGUUGUUCGGAUUCACUGGGCGUAAAGGGUGCGUAGGUGGCCAGGUAAGUUUGGUGUGAAAACUCGGAGCUUAACUCCGAAAAGUCAUUGAAUACUAUCUGGCUGGAGGGUCGGAGGGGAGACUGGAAUUCUCGGUGUAGCAGUGAAAUGCGCAGAUAUCAGGAGGAACACCGGUGGCGAAGGCGGUUCUCUGGGCAUGUCCUGACGCUGAGGAGCGAAAGUGUGGGGAGCGAACAGG